GACGAACGCUGGCGGCGUGCUUAACACAUGCAAGUCGAACGAACUCGGGCUUCGGCCCACAUGAGUGAGUGGCGAACGGGUGAGUAACGCGUGAGAAACCUGCCCCAAAGUCGGGAAUAACUCAGGGAAACUUGAGCUAAUACCGGAUGCCCUCUUCUGACCGCAUGGUCGGAUGAGGAAAGAUUUAUCGCUUUGGGAGGGUCUCGCGACCUAUCAGCUAGUUGGUGAGGUAACGGCUCACCAAGGCAUCGACGGGUAGCUGGUUUGAGAGAACGAUCAGCCACAUUGGAACUGAGACACGGUCCAAACUCCUACGGGAGGCAGCAGUGGGGAAUCUUGCACAAUGGGCGAAAGCCUGAUGCAGCGACGCCGCGUGGGGGAUGAAGGCCCUAGGGUCGUAAACCCCUUUCAGUAGGGACGAAAAUGACGGUACCUACAGAAGAAGCUCCGGCCAACUACGUGCCAGCCGCCGCCGUAACAC
rnacentral:rRNA from 1 species